rnacentral:misc_RNA from 1 species
AGGAUUUGAAGGAAAAUGACCCAAAAUGCUUGUGUUAUAUCAUCCAACAGACUAAUAAUGGUAGUGCUCAGAUCAAGAACUUGGGUAUCCAAAAGGAUAGGUCCUUCUGCUUGCCAGCUCCAAAAUGCCAGUGUUAGCUUUUGCCCUAAGCUUCUUGGCCUCUCUCCUAGCUCCCCAGAUGCUGCUAUUUUCACAAAUAUUACAGCAACAACUACCCCCACUACUCCCACCGGAGGAGCAUCAGCAUCGGAGAAAUCUGACGCCUCCAUUAUGACCAUGCAUAGACCUGAUAACACCUUUUUGGUCCUGUGGCUAUUGCUAUGGCCAUUUUUAUCUACACUUUCUCCACUGAUCAAUCUACGUUUAUGUUCUAAACCUGAGAACAUCCAUGGAAGGCCG